CCAGGCUUGAAGGAAGCUCUUCAUUUCCUGUGCUGUUGAUUGUUGGGCCGGUUUGUGGAGUUUUACUGAUUCUUCUUCUGCUGCUGUUUCUGUAUCUCUACAGAAAGUCAAAAGAUUCAUGCUUUAUGAGGUCUCAGAGCAGCAGUCGGGGCCCUGCUACAGACCACAUGAUCAACCAGGAUGAAACUCAGCUCAAAGAAUAUGCUCCUCCUCUCCAUGG